AUACUCAUUCACCAUUGACAAUUCAACUUAUUCUCUCUUCCCACAGGCAACCCCAUUCCAGCUGCCAUUGAAGAAAUGCGCGGUGGUGGGAAAUGGUGGGAUUCUGAAGAAGAGUGGCUGUGGCCGUCAAAUAGAUGAAGCAAAUUUUGUCAUGCGAUGCAAUCUUCCUCCUUUGUCAAGUGAAUACACUAAGGAUGUUGGAUCCAAAAGUCAGUUAGUGACAGCUAAUCCCAGCAUAAUUCGGCAAAGGUUUUGGUAUCAGGAUGAUGCUGGCCUCAUAAAAUGA
rnacentral:sRNA from 1 species